rnacentral:rRNA from 1 species
GGAUUAGUACGUUGGUCGUGCCUUCGGUAUGUACUGGUGUUACUGAUUCCUCCCCUCUGACGAACCAUCAUGUCAUUAAUUUGGUGUGAUGGGGAAUCAGGACUGUUACUUUGAAAAAAUUAGAGUGUUUAAAGCAGGCUCGCGCUUGAAUACAUUAGCAUGGAAUAAUGGAAUAGGGCUGCUGCCCCAUUUUGUUGGUUUCUGGGACCGUAGCA